GGUAUUGUUUGCCCCACAGUAAGCCCCGUUAACCUUAUUGUUUGUCAAACAUGCA
rfam:Lactobacillus saerimneri 30a contig00001, whole genome shotgun sequence.